GAUCAUUAGAAUUAUUAGGAAGAUUUUUUAAUCUUUCCAAUACUUUACUCAAAAUUUUCAGUCUUAUAUACAUAUUCAAAUAUUUUUAAAAAAAAUUUGAUAACUUUCAACAACGGAUCUCUUGGCUCUUGCCUCGAUGAAGAACGCAGUGAAAUGCGAUAGGUAAUGUGAAUUGCAGAAUUCCGUGAAUCAUCAAAUUUUUGAACGCAAAUUGCACUCUCUGGUAUUCCGGGGAGUAUACUUGCUUGAGGGUUAGUGAUUAUAAAUCGUGAAAAGAAAUUUUUACGGAUCUGGGUUUUCCAAAGUUUUUUUUGGUAAUCUAAAAUUUAUCUUAACAAUAGGUGAUAUUGGAAAUGUUUAUCUUUUAAUUCAUUAACAGUUAUUGCCAAUUUGUUACGUCGUGUUAUUUUCCUAAUCCCUUGAUUGGGUAAGAGUAACACAAUUUUUUCUUUGAAAUCUGACCUCAAGUCAAGUAAGAAUACCCGCUGAACUUAAGCAUAUCAAUAAGCGGAGGAAAAGAAACUAACAAGGAUUCCCUUAGUAACGGCGAGUGAACUGGGAAGAGCUCAAAUUUUAAAUCACCUAGGUGAGUUGUAAUUUGAAGAAAGUGUUUUGAUGCUCUGGUUUGGUCUAAAUCCUUUGGGAUAAGGUAUCAUAGAGGGUGAGAAUCCCGUCCAUGAUUAAACCCUGGGUGUCACCUAAUUCACUUUCCAAGAGUCGAGUUGUUUGGGAUUGCAGCUCAAAAUGGGUGGUAAAUUUCACCUAAGGCUAAAUAUGUGCAAGAGACCGAUAGCGAACAAGUACCGUGAGGGAAAGAUGAAAAGAACUUUGAAAAGAGAGUUAAAUAGUACGUGAAAUUGUUGAGAGGGAAACGCUUGGAGUCAGUCGCGUCUGCUGGGACUCAGCCUUGCUUCUGCUUGGUGCACUUCUCAGUAGAUGGGCCAGCAUCAAUUUUGGGUGCAGGAAAAGGGCGGGAGGAAUGUGGCAGCUUGCUGUGUUAUAGCCUCUCGUCGUACACUGUGCUUGGGAUUGAGGACUGCAGCACGCCUUUUGGUAGGGGUUCGCC
rnacentral:rRNA from 1 species